UAGGGAAUCUUCCACAAUGGACGCAAGUCUGAUGGAGCAACGCCGCGUGAGUGAAGAAGGUUUUCGGAUCGUAAAGCUCUGUUGUUGGUGAAGAAGGAUAGAGGCAGUAACUGGUCUUUAUUUGACGGUAAUCAACCAGAAAGUCACGGCUAACUACGUGCCAGCAGCCGCGGUAAUGCGUAGGUGGCAAGCGUUGUCCGGAUUUAUUGGGCGUAAAGCGAGCGCAGGCGGAAUGAUAAGUCUGAUGUGAAAGCCCACGGCUCAACCGUGGAACUGCAUCGGAAACUGUCAUUCUUGAGUGCAGAAGAGGAGAGUGGAAUUCCAUGUGUAGCGGUGGAAUGCGUAGAUAUAUGGAAGAACACCAGUGGCGAAGGCGGCUCUCUGGUCUGCAACUGACGCUGAGGCUCGAAAGCAUGGGUAGCGAACAGG
rnacentral:rRNA from 1 species